rnacentral:tRNA from 1 species
GCAGGUUUAGCUCAGUUGGUAGAGCGUCGGCUUUACACGCCGAAUGUCGGCGGUUCGACCCCGUCAACCUGCA